CAAUAGCGUAUAUUUAAGUUGUUGCAGUUAAAAAGCUCGUAGUUGGAUUUCGGGUGGGACGCAGCGGUCUCGCAUUGCGUUUGUACUGCUGCAGCCCUCCUUCUUGCCGGGGGCGGCCUCUCGGACUUCACUGUCUGGGGGUCAGAAUCGGCGAUGUUACUUUGAGUAAAUUAGAGUGUUCAAAGCAAGCUUACGCUCUGAAUAUAAUAGCAUGGGAUAACACGACAGGACUCUGGCCUAUCGUGUUGGUCUAUAGGACCAGAGUAAUGAUUAAGAGGGACAGUCGGGGGCAUUCGUAUUCCGUUGUCAGAGGUGAAAUUCUUGGAUUUACGGAAAACGAACAUCUGCGAAAGCAUUUGCCAAGGAUGUUUUCAUUGA
rnacentral:rRNA from 1 species